rnacentral:rRNA from 1 species
UACGUAGGGGGCAAGCGUUGUCCGGAUUUAUUGGGCGUAAAGAGCGUGUAGGCGGCCACACAGGUCAGCUGUGAAAACUCGAGGCUCAACCUCGAGACGUCGGUUGAAACCGUAUGGCUAGAGUCCGGAAGAGGAGAGUGGAAUUCCCGGUGUAGCGGUGAAAUGCGCAGAUAUCGGGAAGAACACCCGUGGCGAAGGCGGCUCACUGGACCAUAACUGACGCUGAUGCACGAAAGCUAGGGGAGCAAACAGG